rnacentral:lncRNA from 1 species
GAGUUGGGGGAGAGGACCAGAACCACCUGCUGGAGAAGGGGAGCUACGGGGGCCGGGCAGGGUCCAAACGCCUCACGUAGGCGGCGGCGCCACGGUCUUCGGGGUCACAGGGAAGAGAAGGGCUCUCCUCAAGCGGGUGGAAGGAGGGAGGCCUCCCGAGGGAGUGAGACUCUAGGCCACUCCCCCGCAGCAAGGCAGGAUCACCUGCGACGCGGAGAGCGGUUAGAGGGCCCUGGAGUGGAAAAGGGCAGUGGGACCUGGUAGCUUGGGUUCCCUGCAACUUGGGGUUCGACCUCCAGGCAAUGAAGUAGGGAUGGUCCUGCAAGUCAAGAUUCCAGUAGCAAGAGUGCAUCAGAUCUCUGUAAGGAAAAUAACUAACAUUGCUCAGUUCCCUGUAGAGUUGCAGGGCGCUUUAACGUUAUCUCCCUUGGUUCUCCAUCAGGUCGUAGUGGACUAAUUUUACAGGCGAAGUUAAGUGACUUACCCAAAACCUCACAGCUAAUAAACGGCAGAGCCGGCACCCAGCUGUACUGGCUUCCAAUUCUGUUAGCUUACCAGCGCAUCACAUUAUCUCCAUAAAUCCCCAUGAUUCAACUAAUAUUAGACGCCCCACAGAGUCUCGCUACUCAAAACGUGGUCAGUGGCCCAGCAGCACUGACAUGAGGAUGUUAGUUAGAAACUCAGAAUCUCAGGCUCCACCCCAGACCUGCUGAACCAGCAUCUUCAACUUAACAAGAACCCGAAGAGAUUUGUGUCACAUCAAAAAGUUUGAGAAGCUCUGAUCUAGGGCUGGAAGGAGUGUUGCUCAACAAUAUCCAAAACCACAGAGGUUGAAAAGCACAAGGAAAGAAGGUAUGUUUGCACUUUGUGAUUAGGUAGUAGGGUCUUUGAGACCACAUUGUUCUUAUUGAAAGCCUGGGAAGAAAGAUCCCCUUUCUGGUCAAGUUUAGUCUAGGGAUCCAUCCCAUCUUCCCCAGUUCCCACGUGUAUGGGACAUGUCGAGAUAAGUAGAUAGAUUGGACAGUGGGAGAAAGUAGUUCUCUUCCAGUUGCUUCUAUUUUCUCAGCAAAGUGAGGAGCAAGAUCAUUUUGGCAGACUGCUAAUUGUCCAUCACAAUUUAGUCUCCCUUUCUCCCUGAAAACACAGACUGCUUUUCUCAGCCUCUCUUUCAGUUGCAUAUGGUCAAGUAUUAAGUUAUAGAACGUGAGCAGAUGUUAUGUCUGCCACUGUCAGGCCAAGGCGUUUACUUUGAGAGUACUUGUGCCUCUUUCAUGCAUUUUCCUUUCUGCCAGCUGGACCCUGGACACGGUGACUCUGAUUCAAUUAUGCAGAUGACCACAAACCUCUGGGGUUGGCAGAGCCACAAGAAAGAAGGUGCCUGGAUGAAGGAGAGCUACCCACUGACCUGGACACCCAAUUAUAGGAUAGACAGUGAAGUGCAACUACAGCCCGCAAAUGAAAAUGAAUAAUAUUAAUCCAGCCCCUCAAGGCAGUCAUCUGUCUUAGAGCUAUUGGAAUCCUGGAUCAUUGUGGGAAAUGAAAGGAACUGGUUUUUAGCAAGGAGACCAAGAAACUCUACUCCCUAGGGGCUAGCAAUGAGAGAAAGGAAGCCUUAAGUCUUUGAGCACAGGGUGACAGUUUGGGUCCUAUGUGAGAUGAUCAAAUCCACAGCAACAGAGGAAAGGACAAAAGGAAAAGGUCUGUAGCAGCACUACAUCAGAAAAAAAUGGAUUCAGCAAGGAAGUGGGUGACUCUGAGUAAGCAUCCAUGUCAGGAUGGUUUUGCUACAGCCCCCAACAAAACAUUAAUUAGUUUAAGAAACUCAACUUCGGUUUACAAGUGUUUUGGAAAAGUAACAAAGAACAACAUAAGUAACAAAAUAAUUCCUCAGGUCAUUACAAUGGAUGUUUCCUAUAACUGAAAAAUAUGGUUAAAAAGUACAAACUACAUUUGGUGUGCAAACUGUUUAGUUCUUAAUUCCAAACUAAAUUGUACAUUAUAUAGUAAAAUUUUGACCAGAAAAACUUGGAGAUUUUAGUAAAAAUUUCAUUGACAUAUUUACAGCCCCAGUGUAGUUUGGCCGGUGUGCAAAGCCUGACUAAGGAGGUUAUAGAAAAAAAUAUCAGACUUAAGCCCAUCAAAUCAUUAAAGAUGCUUUGGCAAGACUUCAAGCUUUACAGACAUACUCCAUGUGACCAGAGAUGUCAUAACCAGUGUUCUUUCUCUUGAAAUGUUAGAAUGCUUUAGUUUUAUUCUAUAAUUUCCGUGUUCCAUGGAACAGCAUUCAUUUCUCCCAGUUUUAGUAACAUAAUGAGAGAUAUAUUGAGUGUAUAGAGCAGGAAAGACAUGAAAACUUAUAUUGCAUAAUAUUAGCAAACAUAAAAGAUAGCAUUAUAAAUUUUUAAAAAUCCAAAAAAAUUCCAGAAACAGAACAGUGAGCAUGUUUAAAAAGUCAGGACUGACCGUUUCUGUGAGUUCUGAGGACUGUAAAUGAGCCUCAAUCCAUAAAGCUGAGAGGUUGUCUUAGCCCACAUAUGCAGCAGGUGACUCCCUCUGACAAAAGCAAGAUUUAGCUGGAUCUUUUAAAAAAAAAA